CUUACACAUGCAAGUCGAGCGCGUGUAGCAAUACACGAGCGGCGCACGGGUGAGUAACGCGUGGAUAUCUGCCUUUUGGUUCGGAAUAACCCCGGGAAACUGGGGCUAAUACCGGAUGGUUCCUACGGGAUAAAGAUUUAUCGCCAAAAGAUGAGUCCGCGUCCGAUUAGCUAGUUGGUGAGGUAACGGCUCACCAGGGCGACGAUCGGUAGCUGGUCUGAGAGGACGAUCAGCCACACUGGGACUGAGACACGGCCCAGACUCCUACGGGAGGCAGCAGUGGGGAAUAUUGGACAAUGGGGGCAACCCUGAUCCAGCCAUGCCGCGUGAGUGAUGAAGGCCUUCGGGUUGUAAAGCUCUUUUGGCGGGGACGAUGAUGACGGUACCCGCAGAAUAAGCCCCGGCUAACUUCGUGCCAGCAGCCGCGGUAAGACGAAGGGGGCUAGCGUUGUUCGGAAUUACUGGGCGUAAAGCGCGUGUAGGCGGUUGUCCAAGUUGGAUGUGAAAGCCUUGAGCUCAACUCAAGAAAUGCAUUCAGGACUGGAUGACU
rnacentral:rRNA from 1 species